UACGGAAGGCAGCAGUGGGGAAUAUUGCACAAUGGGCGAAAGCCUGAUGCAGCUAUGCCGCGUGUAUGAAGAAGGCCUUAGGGUUGUAAAGUACUUUCAUCGGGGAGGAAAAAACAAAACUAAUAAUUUUAUUUCUUGACGUUACCCGAAAAAGAAGCACCGGCUAACUCCGUGCCAGCAGCCGCGGUAAUACGGAGGGUGCUAGCGUUAAUCAGAAUUACUGGGCGUAAAGAGCACGUAGGUGGUUUUUUUAAAGUCAGAUGUGAAAUCCCUGGGCUUAACCUAGGAACUGCAUUUUGAAACUGAAAUACUAGAGUAUCGUAGAGGGAGGUAGAAUUCUAGGUGUAGCGGUGAAAUGCGUAGAUAUCUGGAGGAAUACCUGUGGCGAAAGCGGCCUCCUAAACGAAUACUGACACUGAGGUGCGAAAGCGUGGGGAGCAAACAGGGAUUAGACACC
rnacentral:rRNA from 1 species